GACGAACGCUGGCGGCGUGCUUAACACAUGCAAGUCGAACGGAAAGGCCCCAGCUUGCUGGGGUACUCGAGUGGCGAACGGGUGAGUAACACGUGGGUGAUCUGCCCUGCACUCUGGGAUAAGCCUGGGAAACUGGGUCUAAUACCGGAUAGGACCGUGCUUUAGUGUGUGCGGUGGAAAGUUUUUCGGUGCAGGAUGAGCCCGCGGCCUAUCAGCUUGUUGGUGGGGUAAUGGCCUACCAAGGCGGCGACGGGUAGCCGGCCUGAGAGGGUGUACGGCCACAUUGGGACUGAGACACGGCCCAGACUCCUACGGGAGGCAGCAGUGGGGAAUAUUGCACAAUGGGCGCAAGCCUGAUGCAGCGACGCCGCGUGGGGGAUGACGGCCUUCGGGUUGUAAACCCCUUUCGGCAGGGACGAAGCUUUUGUGACGGUACCUGCAGAAGAAGCACCGGCUAACUACGUG
rnacentral:rRNA from 1 species